rnacentral:lncRNA from 1 species
AAAGUUAAUCAGCUCUCUUGAUUUCAGGGGAGAUGCGCCGUGUAACAGAGUGAAUGAAUCUGAAGCCUUCAGACUUCCCAUUUGCUUUUCUGGGGAUAAAUUCAGGCAGAGAAAGGCAAAUCCCUGACUUUUGUUCUCUUGAAAACAAGAAUUAAGAUACAUGUGUUGGAAGAACAUUACUGAAGUCACCCAAAGUGAAGUAAUCAAUUUAAUUAUUCUGUCGUUUCUUCAAAACUUGAUGCCAAGAUCAGCUAUGGUUUCCUGAAGAUCUUCAGGACACUGCAUGAGGAACAUCCACACCAUGCAAAAUUUUAGUGUUUUCCAUGCUGGCUUGGGAUGACCAGCUGUAUCUGCAUUGCACAGAGCAAGUGCAGUUAUUUUUGCCUCUACACAGUGGUGACCCUCACUUGCUUCUGAUCCUGGCUUAACUAGCUGAUUUAGGUAUCUGCACUUUCCUCCCUCACCUGCUGUAAUUACAUCCACUGCCUACCUGUACUCUCCAUAAUCUC